GUUUAAAGGCAGAUUAAGUUAGGAAGGUGUGAGGGAAAUGGGUUUAAAGGCAGAUUAAGUUAGGAAGGUGUGAGGGAAAUGGGUUUAAAGGCAGAUUAAGUUAGGAAGGUGUGAGGGAAAUGGGUUUAAAGGCAGAUUAAGUUAGGAAGGUGUGAGGGAAAUGGGUUUAAAGGCAGAUUAAGUUAGGAAGGUGUGAGGGAAAUGGGUUUAAAGGCUCUGAAUACGUGUUUGAUUUCAACAUUCUGACAAAGGAGCAGUAGAAAAUACAAACAUUUAGGAAAAGUCAGGGAGCAGGAGGUAGGUUUUUUGGGUUGUCUGAUUCUAGUGUUAAAAGACAAUUCUGCCACUUUUCAACCUCAUAUUCAUCCUCUCCAGCACCAAACAGAAUGUUUAUUUGUCAAAAUGGCACAUUUCUAUGAUCUGUAGUUAAAAAGAUAAGUAGACAAGUCUUUAAAAAAUGAUCUGUGACAUAAAAGUUAAAAACUCAUUUUCCAAACCUGCAGUAGUUUUCUGGCCCCAUGGAGGGUAUUUUAUUGCUCCCCACACCUGAUCAUCUAAUUGUGUUUGAAAAUCACUGCUUUUAAAAUGAUUAAACUUUUGAUGAUGUCAUCAGGUAGAACUUUUUAACUUUAUAUUUUUUCUUCAAAACUUCAAAAUGAACCAUUUACAUUUAUAUUCAUUUCUGAUGUUAUUUUAUUUGUACGGCUGAAUAGGACCUUUAAAGGUAGUGUUUUAUAUAUAUUCUGAUGUUAUUUUAUUUUUAUGGCUGAAUAGGACCUUUAAAUGUAGUGUUUUAUAUAUAUUCUGAUGUUAUUUUAUUUUUAUGGCUGAAUAGGACCUUUAAAUGUAGUGUUUUAUAUAUAUUCUGAUGUUAUUUUAUUUUUAUGGCUGAAUAGGACCUUUAAAGGUAGUGUGUUUUAUAUAAUUAGCCUCCACAGCAACAUGAACACCUGAAUACUUUCACAUACAAACCAGAGGAGGCUGGUGGAGGAGCUAUAGGAGGACAGGCUCAGUGUAAAGACUGGAAUGGAAUAAAUGGAACAUCAAACACUUAAUUAAUUUAUUCCAUUUCAGCCAUAAAAAUGAACAAGUCCUCCUAUAACUCCUCCUAUAGCUCCUCCCACCAGCCUAUAGCUCCUCCCACCAGCCUAUAGCUCCUCCCGCCAGCCUAUAACUCCUCCCACCAGCCUCCUCUUGGAAAUGUCUCUGUUCUGUUAAAAGAGAAGUUGAGAAUACCACAUGUUGAUUCUGUUGUAUCUACAUUAAACCACAUGUUGAUUCUGUUGUAUCUACAUAUAUCUACAUUAAACCACAUGUUGAUUCUGUUGUAUCUACAUGUAUCUACAUUAAACCACAUGUUGAUUCUGUUGUAUCUACAUUAAACCACAUGUUGAUUCUGUUGUAUCUACAUAUAUCUACAUUAAACCACAUGUUGAUUCUGUUGUAUCUACAUGUAUCUACAUUAAACCACAUGUUGAUUCUGUUGUAU
ensembl:lncRNA